GACGAACGCUGGCGGCGCGCUUAACACAUGCAAGUCGAGCGAGAACCAGGGCUUCGGCCCUGGGGACAGCGGCGAACGGGUGAGUAACACGUGGAUAACCUGCCCUCGGCACCGGGAUAGCCCGGGGAAACCCGGAUUAAUACCGGAUGGCCCUUCCGGCUUUCGAGCUGGUCGGAAAAGGUAGCUUCGGCCUCCGGCCGAGGAUGGGUCGGCGGCGGAUUAGCUUGUUGGUGGGGUAACGGCCUACCAAGGCGACGAUCCGUGGCUGGUCUGAGAGGACGAUCAGCCACACUGGGACUGAGACUCGGCCCAGACUCCUACGGGAGGCAGCAGUGGGGAAUCUUGCGCAAUGGGCGAAAGCCUGACGCAGCGACGCCGCGUGAGGGAGGAAGGCCUUCGGGUUGUAAACCUCUUUCAGGAGGGACGAAGCUACUCGGGUGAAUAGCCCAGAGGGUGACGGUACCUCCAGAAGAAGCCCCGGCUAACUACGUGCCAGCCGCCGCCGUAAUAC
rnacentral:rRNA from 1 species